GGAUUGUGGCUCAGCGGUAGAGCACCCGCCUAGCGCCAGCGGGACCCAGGUUCAACCCUGAGCACCA
rnacentral:tRNA from 1 species